rfam:Lupinus angustifolius cultivar Tanjil contig_18467, whole genome shotgun sequence.
UUGGCAUGGUGAUGAUCCUUUUAAUUUUUCAUAUGAUUAGUCAUGUGAUGAAAUAAAAACCUCCUACUCAUUCUGA